CCUACGGGAGGCAGCAGUGAGGAAUAUUGGUCAAUGGGCGAGAGCCUGAACCAGCCAAGUCGCGUGAGGGAGUACUGCCCUAUGGGUUGUAAACCUCUUUUGUCGGGGAGCAAAAGCCGGACGUGUCCGGCUGUGAGAGUACCCGAAGAAAAAGCAUCGGCUAACUCCGUGCCAGCAGCCGCGGUAAUACGGAGGAUGCGAGCGUUAUCCGGGUUUAUUGGGGUAAAGGGGUGCGCAGGCGGAUUUUUAAGUCAGCGGUCAAAUCGUGGGGCUCAACCCCAUCCAGCCGUUGAAACUGGGGAUCUAGAGUGUGCGAGAGGUAUGCGGAAUGCGUGGUGUAGCGGUGAAAUGCAUAGAUAUCACGCAGAACCCCGAUUGCGAAGGCAGCAUACCGGUGCACAACUGACGCUCAGGCACGAAAGCGUGGGUAUCGAACAGGAUUAGAUACCCUUGUAGUC
rnacentral:rRNA from 1 species